rnacentral:lncRNA from 1 species
CAGAAAUCCUGAUACUCUGAGUUUGGGUUUUCAAGCCCCUACAACUUCGAGACAAUGAAUAUCUUCUUUACAGUCUAUGAUAUCUUGUUUGGUAGACCAAGGAGACUAAUCUAUUACUUAAUAUUGGGAACAUUACUUAGAAGCUAAUGAUCUUCGAAAAUGCAGUGAAUAUUUGUUCCUGAGGAAGAUGUUUGGUUUUCAUUUUAAGAAGUCCAGAAAACUAUGGAAAGUGCUGACAGUCCAGAACACACACAUUCAAAGGUCUCACCUUUCAUCAUCUGGGAAUAAUAGGUGCUCAAGUUCUACCUAUUUUCCUUGAUGUCCCAAGGAAGAUCCUUGCUGCAACAGAGAUGUGGAUGUCCUGGCUGAGACAAGAGAAAUGUGUUGAAGAAUGUGGGCCAAGGGCUGCUGCAUAUCAAGGGGAUGUGAGAUCAUGUCUAGUUUGACUUUGGCUCUUUAGUACUGUGCCCUAUUGAUAGUUGGGCCUGGGCCUCCAGGGGUCUCCAAAGCAAAGGAUAGGGAUGAGAUACAUGAUGAAGGGGAAGAAAAGCUGCUUCCCAAAUGGAUGCUUGUUGUUUGGAGAUGGGAUGUUUGUUAAGGUCAAGAUAAGAUCCCCAGAUUCAAGGCCUAGAUCUGCCCUUGACUUCAUGUAUGACCUUGGGUAAGCCAUUUCUAGGUUUUGAAUCUCAGUUUCUUUACAUCUUUAAAAAACGGGUUGGAGGCCAGAUGUGGUGGUUCACACCCUUAAU